rnacentral:rRNA from 1 species
UAUUGGUCAAUGGGCGCGAGCCUGAGCCAGCCAAGUCGCGUGAGGGAUGACGGUCCUACGGAUUGUAAACCUCUUUUGCCGGGGAGCAAGCGUGCGUUCGUGAACGCGCGUCGAGAGUACCCGGAGAAAAAGCAUCGGCUAACUCCGUGCCAGCAGCCGCGGUAAUACGGAGGAUGCGAGCGUUAUCCGGAUUUAUUGGGUUUAAAGGGUGCGUAGGCGGGAUGCCAAGUCAGCGGUAAAAAUGCGGUGCUCAACGCCGUCGAGCCGUUGAAACUGGCGUUCUUGAGUGGGCGAGAAGUAUGCGGAAUGCGUGGUGUAACGGUGAAAUGCAUAGAUAUCACGCAGAACUCCGAUUGCGAAGGCAGCAUACCGGCGCCCUACUGACGCUGAGGCACGAAAGCGUGGGUAUCGAACAGG